UCCUCGCUGGCUCAGAUGGAUAGAGCGUCUGCCAAGUAAGCAGGAGGGCCCGGGUUCGAGUCCCGGUCGGGGCA